rnacentral:snRNA from 1 species
AUCUUUAUGGCAAUACCUAUACAAAAUUAGAACGAUACAGAGAAGAUUAGCAUGGUCCCUGUGCAAGGGUGACAUGCAAGGGUGACAUGGUCUCUGUGCAA